GUUGUGGCUCAGCGGUAGAGCGCUUGCCUAGCACCUGCAAGGCUCUGGGUUUGAUCCUCAGCAUCACA
rnacentral:tRNA from 1 species